AGUGAACGCUGGCGGUAGGCCUAACACAUGCAAGUCGAACGGCAGCACAGUAAGAGCUUGCUCUUACGGGUGGCGAGUGGCGGACGGGUGAGGAAUACAUCGGAAUCUACUUUUUCGUGGGUGAUAACGGAGGGCAACUUACGCUAAUACCGCAUACGACCUACGGGUGAAUGCAGGGGAUAUUCGGACUUUUCGCGAUUGAUUGAGCCGAUUCCGAGUCGCAUUAGCUAGUUGGUAAGGUACCGGCAUACCAAGGCGACGAUGCGUAGCUGAGCUGAGAGGAUGAUCAGCCACACUGGAACUGAGACACGGUCCAGACUCCUACGGGAGGCAGCAGUAGGGAAUCUUGCGCAAUGGGCGCAAGCCUGACCGAGCAAUGCCGCGUGAGUGAUGAAGGUCUUCGGAUCGUAAAGCCCUGUUAUUAGGGAAGAACAAAUGUGGAAGAAACCAUGGACGUUCUGACGGUACCCAAUCAGAAAGCACCGGCUAACUACGUG
rnacentral:rRNA from 1 species